AUGCCGACGACUAUUUUCCACUUAAUUAAUAAGUGAAGGGGAGAGGGAAGCGAGGCUUAGCGAGUGAUUUUAAUUUGACUCUAUAGGUAGGUAUCGGCGGGGCUUGCGUAAUGUAGUUGUAGUUAAGGCUGAAGUAGCGCUUUUUAUUUUAGAAGAUCUACUGAAGUACCAAAGGCGAACGGGGCUCCCAGGCCGGGACGUCUGGCAGAAUGCUUGGCCUCCUGCGCUGGAAGCGAGACCCGAAGGGUGAGCUUAUGGCGGUUAGCUUCUUAAAUAAUAGGCAUUAGGCAUUCUGAGCUGAAAGGAGGCAAGCAAAUGAAGGGAGGCAUUACGGGCCGACUACAAGAAAAGCAAAGCUUCGUAGACUCGGUCAAGUCGCUUAUAGAAUGCCGACGACUAUUUUCCACUUAAUUAAUAAGUGAAGGGGAGA
rnacentral:lncRNA from 1 species